GAUGAACGCUAGCGGCAGGCCUAACACAUGCAAGUCGAACGGUGACGGAGAGCUUGCUCUCCUGAUCAGUGGCGCACGGGUGCGUAACACGUAUGCAACCUACCUUACAUUGGGGGAUAGCCUUUCGAAAGGGAGAUUAAUACCGCAUAAGACAGUAGCUGGGCAUCCAGCAGCUAUUAAAGAUUUAUCGAUGUAAGCUGGGCAUGCGUCCAAUUAGCUAGUUGGUGAGGUAACGGCUCACCAAGGCAAUGAUUGGUAGGGGAACUGAGAGGUCAAUCCCCCACACUGGCACUGAGAUACGGGCCAGACUCCUACGGGAGGCAGCAGUAGGGAAUAUUGGGCAAUGGACGCAAGUCUGACCCAGCCAUGCCGCGUGCAGGAUGAAGGCGUUAUGCGUUGUAAACUGCUUUUAUACAGGAAGAAACGACUCUUGCGAGAGGCAUUGACGGUACUGUAUGAAUAAGCACCGGCUAACUCCGUGCCAGCCGCCGCAGUAAUAC
rnacentral:rRNA from 1 species